rnacentral:rRNA from 1 species
AGUGAACGCUGGCGGUAGGCCUAACACAUGCAAGUCGAACGGCAGCACAGUAAGAGCUUGCUCUUACGGGUGGCGAGUGGCAGACGGGUGAGGAAUACAUCGGAAUCUACUUUUUCGUGGGGGAUAACGUAGGGAAACUUACGCUAAUACCGCAUACGACCUACGGGUGAAAGCAGGGGAUCUUCGGACCUUGCGCGAUUGAAUGAGCCGAUGUCGGAUUAGCUAGUUGGCGGGGUAAAGGCCCACCAAGGCGACGACCCGUAGCUGGUCUGAGAGGAUGAUCAGCCACACUGGAACUGAGACACGGUCCAGACUCCUACGGGAGGCAGCAGUGGGGAAUAUUGGACAAUGGGCGCAAGCCUGAUCCAGCCAUACCGCGUGGGUGAAGAAGGCCUUCGGGUUGUAAAGCCCUUUUGUUGGGAAAGAAAAGCAGCAGGUUAAUACCCCGCUGUUCUGACGGUACCCAAAGAAUAAGCACCGGCUAACUUCGUG